AUUGAACGCUGGCGGCAGGCCUAACACAUGCAAGUCGAGCGAGCGGCGGACGGGUGAGUACUGUCUGGGAAACUGCCUGAUGGAUGGGGAUAACUACUGGAAACGGUAGCUAAUACCACAUACCAUCCGCUGUGCCCAGAGGGGAUUAGCUAGUAGGUGGGGUAACGGCUCACCUAGGCGACGAUCCCUAGCUGGUCUGAGAGGAUGACCAGCCACACUGGAACUGAGACACGGUCCAGACUCCUACGGGAGGCAGCAGUGGGGAAUAUUGGACAAUGGGCGCAAGCCUGAUGCAGCAAUGCCGCGUGAGUGAAGAAGGCCUUCGGGUUGUAAAGCACUGUCAGUGGGGAGGCGUUACCCGAAGAGGAAGCAACGGCUAACUCCGUGCCAGCAGCCGCGGUAAUUC
rnacentral:rRNA from 1 species